ACGGGAGGCAGCAGUGAGGAAUAUUGGUCAAUGGGCGCAAGCCUGAACCAGCCAAGUCGCGUGAAGGAAGACUGCCCUAUGGGUUGUAAACUUCUUUUGCAUGGGAAUAAAGUGAGCCACGUGUGGCUUUUUGUAUGUACCAUGCGAAUAAGCAUCGGCUAAUUCCGUGCCAGCAGCCGCGGUAAUACGGAAGAUGCGAGCGUUAUCCGGAUUUAUUGGGUUUAAAGGGAGCGUAGGCGGCCUUUUAAGUCAGCGGUCAAAUGUCAGCGCCCAACGCUGGCCUGCCGUUGAUACUGAUGGGCUUGAAUACACACAAGGAAGGUGGAAUUCGUCGUGUAGCGGUGAAAUGCUUAGAUAUGACGAAGAACUCCGAUUGCGAAGGCAGCCUUCUGGAGUGCGAUUGACGCUGAGGCUCGAAAGCGCGGGUAUCAAACAGGAUUAGAUACCCUGGUA
rnacentral:rRNA from 1 species